UCCCUUCUCAAAAGCACUUGCUGGGUCUGUUUUCCCAUGGCCCAGGGAGUUGUCGUGGAAGGGUAAAGUAAAGGCACUGCUUUUGGGUGAGGUGACAGCUUGUGCUGUUGUGCCUCAAUCGGUGGUGCUACAGAU